rnacentral:rRNA from 1 species
AUCGUAACUCCUACGGGAGGCAGCAGUGGGGAAUUUUGGACAAUGGGGGCAACCCUGAUCCAGCAAUGCCGCGUGAGUGAAGAAGGCCUUCGGGUUGUAAAGCUCUUUUGUCAGGGAAGAAACGGUAGUAGCUAAUAUCUAUUACUAAUGACGGUACCUGAAGAAUAAGCACCGGCUAACUACGUGCCAGCAGCCGCGGUAAUACGUAGGGUGCAAGCGUUAAUCGGAAUUACCGGGCGUAAAGCGUGCGCAGGCGGUUGUGUAAGUCAGAUGUGAAAUCCCCGGGCUCAACCUGGGAAUUGCAUUUGAGACUGGAAGGCUAGAGUGUGUCAGAGGGGGGUAGAAUUCCACGUGUAGCAGUGAAAUGCGUAGAUAUGUGGAGGAAUACCGAUGGCGAAGGCAGCCCCCUGGGAUAACACUGACGCUCAUGCACGAAAGCGUGGGGAGCAAACAGGAUUAGAUACCCCGGUAGUCCUAGAGC